GAGUUUGAUCCUGGCUCAGAUUGAACGCUGGCGGCAGGCCUAACACAUGCAAGUCGAGCGGAUGAAGGGAGCUUGCUCCUGGAUUCAGCGGCGGACGGGUGAGUAAUGCCUAGGAAUCUGCCUGGGUAGUGGGGGAUAACGUCCGGAAACGGGCGCUAAUACCGCAUACGUCCUGAGGGAGAAAGUGGGGGAUCUUCGGACCUCACGCUAUCAGAUGAGCCUAGGUCGGAUUAGCUAGUUGGUGGGGUAAAGGCCUACCAAGGCGACGAUCCGUAACUGGUCUGAGAGGAUGAUCAGUCACACUGGAACUGAGACACGGUCCAGACUCCUACGGGAGGCAGCAGUGGGGAAUAUUGGACAAUGGGCGAAAGCCUGAUCCAGCCAUGCCGCGUGUGUGAAGAAGGUCUUCGGAUUGUAAAGCACUUUAAGUUGGGAGGAAGGGCAGUAAGUUAAUACCUUGCUGUUUUGACGUUACCAACAGAAUAAGCACCGGCUAACUUCGUGCCAGCCGCCGCAGU
rnacentral:rRNA from 1 species